AAACCGUUCAGGGGUAAACCUGAGAAACCCAAAAGAUCGAAUGGGGAGAUUCACCGUCAGCGCGAAAUUGGCUUCGCGGGUGGUUCGCGAUGUCUGCCGGUGUGUGCCUUAGGGUUAUGCGUCGGCGGCACGCGUCCUCCGUGUCAUGUCCAGUGGCGUCGGCGUGCACUUCUCCCCUAGUAGGACGUCGCGACCCGUUGGGUGUCGGUCUAAGGCAUGGGCGUGAGCCUGUCGCGUUGCGUCACCACGCGCACGCGGUAGAACCCCGUUGUCCCCGACCGGCUGCCCGGCGGUACACGCACGGUAUAGGGCCGCAAACUCCUUGAGAUUGCGUCCAGCCCGUCGCAAGCGUCGGUCAGUGGUAUACCCGGAGGUACGGACGAAGCGCCGUCACCGGGCCUGACCCGCUGUUGGUCGACGGUGCCCUCGGACUGGCCAAUAAAGCAAUACCGGUCGGCGACGCUACUGCUUUGGGUACUUUCAGGA
rnacentral:rRNA from 1 species